AGUAGGUCACAGGCAUCUCGACGUAACUACGUUGUUCAAGAUUUCACAGAGGGAAAGGCUCUGUCUGAGGACUCGUCGACUCUCAAUGCACGGACUGGAGUUGUAGUUAUACUUUCCCCAACCCAAGCCAUUUAUGUAUACUGCAUUGUUUCUAUGGAAGCUUGCAUGGAAUACAGACAUUAAAAAGCAACUCCAGAGGCAGAGUCCAUGAUGGCCAGAGAAGGAUGACAGCAGGUGGCUGGAGUAGGAGGCCAGGAGGUCCCAUCUCAACUACACACAGAAGCAGAGUGAGAAGAGCAUGUGGGGGACAGCGAUAAAUCCUUAAACCC